CGGGACGGGUGAGUAACGCGUGGGCAACCUGCCUCAUACAGGGGGAUAGCAUCGGGAAACUGGUGGUAAAACCGCAUAAGCGCACGGGAACGCAUGUUUUUGUGUGAAAAGGAGAAAUCUGGUAUGAGAUGGACCCGCGUCUGAUUAGCUAGUUGGAGUGGUAAAAGCACACCAAGGCAACGAUCAGUAGCCGGCCUGAGAGGGUGGACGGCCACAUUGGGACUGAGACACGGCCCAGACUCCUACGGAAGGCAGCAG
rnacentral:rRNA from 1 species